rnacentral:lncRNA from 1 species
AUGCUGUCAAAAAGAAAAACUGGAACCAUGAGCAAAGAAACUGCCUAUUUUUUGUGUAUGCUUAAUUCUCUUGUGUUCAAAGAAGAGAAGGUUCUACACCCUCUACAAGAAUGGGAUCAGGAAUGUCUGCCUCUACCAUGUGUGUUUUCUGACAGAUGCGGGGCAUCUUUGAAUAAGAAAUCAAACAACUUUACAAGGAUUGAGGAAGAAUCCUGCAUAUGCUCCUAGUCAGGCUCUAAGGCACGACUUAAACCAAAAGUUUAUGGCUAUACAAAAUUAUCAGAAGUCUAAUAAGAACCCAGAGUUAUUUGGAAAGGACUUUUGAUCAUGCUGCAUCCUAAUUCCUAAUCCCUGGAGACAUUCAAGGCAAGGCUGGGCUGGGCUCUGAGCAACCUGAUUGAGCUGUAGGUGUCCCCAGUCAUUGCAGGAGAGUUGGACUGGGUGAUCUUUAAGGGUUUCUUCCAACUCAAAUGAUUCUGUGAUUCUGUUCUAAUUGUGUUCAGAAUUUAUUUAGACAAUGUGACUCCAUUUCAGAAUUCAUCAGAUACUUCACAUUCAUAUGGGAACCAGGAGUUAAACCUAUCAUUCAAAUUCAGACAGUUUAGCAAUCCAUUCCACUCCUGACCUCAGGUUGUCUGUUUUAGUUUAGUACUGUGUUUUAGCUACCCUCAAAAUAUUAACCUGCUUAUUAAACCAUGGGCCAUAUUAAAGUUGCACAUAUCCCCAGAAGAGAUGAAGUCAAUCUAAACACCAUCAAAAUGUGAAUGAAAGCUC